rnacentral:rRNA from 1 species
GACGAACGCUGGCGGCGUGCUUAACACAUGCAAGUCGAACGCUGAAGCUCAGCCUUUGUUGGGUGGAUGAGUGGCGAACGGGUGAGUAACACGUGAGUAACCUGCCUCCUUCUUUGGGAUAACGCCCGGAAACGGGUGCUAAUACUGGAUAUUCACUGGUCUUCGCAUGGGGGUUGGUGGAAAGGGUUUUUCUGGUGGGGGAUGGGCUCGCGGCCUAUCAGCUUGUUGGUGGGGUGAUGGCCUACCAAGGCUUUGACGGGUAGCCGGCCUGAGAGGGUGACCGGUCACAUUGGGACUGAGAUACGGCCCAGACUCCUACGGGAGGCAGCAGUGGGGAAUAUUGCACAAUGGGCGCAAGCCUGAUGCAGCGACGCCGCGUGAGGGAUGGAGGCCUUCGGGUUGUGAACCUCUUUCGCUCAUGGUCAAGCCGCAACAAUGGUUGUGGUGAGGGUAGUGGGUAAAGAAGCGCCGGCUAACUACGUG